GUUAUUUGCCGAGCGCUAUAAAUCGGGCGCUCGGCAAAGGCCACCUUUGCCUAGCGCAGGACUCUCGGCAAAGACAGCGCUCGGCAAAGAUUUCUUUGCCGAGGGUAGUGCCCUCGGCAAACGGAGACGCUCGGCAAAGAACGUCUUUGCCAAGCACCAGACGCUCGGCAAAGGCCCGCUCUUGGCAAAGGACAUCUUUCCCAAGCGCCAAGCGCUCGGCAACGGCUUGCACUCGGCAAAGAGAUAACACAUGUGUAUCGAAUCUCCGAAUUCGACGGUUCAAAAAUUGAUAUUCGCUUUACAUAGCGUAUGUUAAGGCCAUAUCCAGGAGCACGCAUGAAAUAUCGAACAUCUCGCGCACGGAACACGGCGACCAAGUUGCGCGUGAAGUGCUAUUAAAUUAUAUAAAAUGCAAAUGAAGUCGAAAAAUUACAUAACUUAGCGACACGUCUUUGGAACACAUGUGGAUGCUAUGGUAAAAAUUUGGUAAAGUUUCGUGCAUGUUAUCACGGAAGUUAGUUAGAAACCUAGACAUCUCUCGUGUGUAAAUAUUAUCCAUUUGGAUUAAUAACGCAGAUCCACGCAGACCAA